GACGAACGCUGGCGGCGUGCUUAACACAUGCAAGUCGAACGAAGAGCGAUGGAAGCUUGCUUCUAUCAAUCUUAGUGGCGAACGGGUGAGUAACGCGUAAUCAACCUGCCCUUCAGAGGGGGACAACAGUUGGAAACGACUGCUAAUACCGCAUACGAUCUAACCUCGGCAUCGAGGAUAGAUGAAAGGUGGCCUCUACAUGUAAGCUAUCACUGAAGGAGGGGAUUGCGUCUGAUUAGCUAGUUGGAGGGGUAACGGCCCACCAAGGCGAUGAUCAGUAGCCGGUCUGAGAGGAUGAACGGCCACAUUGGGACUGAGACACGGCCCAGACUCCUACGGGAGGCAGCAGUGGGGAAUCUUCCGCAAUAGACGAAAGUCUGACGGAGCAACGCCGCGUGAGUGAUGACGGCCUUCGGGUUGUAAAGCUCUGUUAAUCGGGACGAAAGGCCUUCUUGCGAAUAGUGAGAAGGAUUGACGGUACCGGAAUAGAAAGCCACGGCUAACUACGUG
rnacentral:rRNA from 1 species